GAGAGCUGACGGAGAGAUGGUGUCCUGGUGCACAAAGAGGCAGACAGCGGUCUCAACACCCCUGUCAGACACAAGGACAACAUGAGGACACAUGAGAGCAGACAGACAUGCACUGAACAUGGAUCCAGCCUCAGAAAAAAAAGACCACCCAGAUAUAGAAGACAAACUGUUAUCAAGGGAUCCUGACCCACCUCUUCUUUCUUCAGCUGAGCAGUCUUCUGGUUGCGUUCCAUGAUGCGUGAGCGGGCCAUAGCUGCCUCCUCAUAGCUGAUGCGUCCCUCCAGACGCCUGCGCUCAAUCUUGGCCAGCUCGUCCUGAAGGUCCUUCUCACGCAUCUCCUUCUGCCACUGGAGGAAAGACGAGGGAUCACGUGCCCCCUCCACCAGACGCUCCAUUCUGUGGCACAAAUAUAAAAGAAGUGACUCUUGUUCAUGGACAGAUUGUGAGACAACAGGCCACUUGACAUAAAGGCCCCACCAUCUUUCCUACAUAUGUUAAAGUUAUAUAUUGUUUGCAGUUGUUUUGCCCCUUUUCUGUAGUCAUUUUGAUCUCAGUCUCAGUCUACAGUCUUCUUUUUUAAAAAGAGAUUAAAAACCAAUCUUUUUUCAACAGCAUUCGGUUGAACUCUGUACGUGUGGUUGUGGGAGUGGGUGCACAUGUGUGAGUAAGUAAGUGUGUAUGUGGUGAAUAUGGCAUAGCUUGUCUACCUGCACUCUUCAAUUAAUUUGUAAUUGUUU